ACCUACCAGUUAUCUGUAUCUGGGUAUGAUUUUACUUACUCUGUUUCAUGGUUUUAUAAAAUGACUUGAAAUUUGAGCUCUUUCUUCAGUACAUUGUUUUCAUUAACAUAUACGCAUAAACACACACAUCUGUGUAGAUUUUUUUUAAGGGGUUGCUUGAGGCAAAUUUGAAAUUAAACUUAAGAUUGGUAUGUAUUCCUAUUUUAUAGCAGGUAUAUUUUAAAAAUAACAUUUCCCGAAAAUGUCUAUUAUAAUGAUUUAGAUUCUCUUUUCAGGGCCCAGCACUAGAAGAUUUCAGUCAUCUGCCACCUGAACAGAGACGUAAAAAACUACAGCAGCGCAUUGAUGAACUUAACAGAGAACUACAGAAAGAAUCAGACCAAAAAGAUGCACUCAACAAAAUGAAAGAUGUAUAUGAGAAGAAUCCACAAAUGGGGGAUCCAGGGAGUUUGCAGCCUAAAUUAGCAGAGACCAUGAAUAACAUUGACCGCCUACGAAUGGAAAUCCAUAAGAAUGAGGCUUGGCUCUCUGAAGUUGAAGGCAAAACAGGUGGGAGAGGAGACAGAAGACAUAGCAGUGACAUAAAUCAUCUUGUAACACAGGGACGCGAAAGUCCUGAGGGAAGUUACACUGAUGAUGCAAACCAGGAA
rnacentral:sRNA from 1 species